GAGGUCUGACAUUGGCACAAAUUCGUAAGAUGAGGUAUGACAUUGUCAAUUUUAAAAGAUGAGGUAUGAAAGUGUCAUGACAUCAAUAGUUGAGGUAGUUUUUUGUACUUUACCCAUCAAAAUUUCUAUAAUACUAAUUGCAUCCAUAAAAUAGCUGACAACCCAAUGAGACAGCAUUAAGUUCAAAUGAUUGAUCUAUGUCAUCAAUGAAUCAUACUUCUUACAAAAAUUAACUGGUUAACAAAAACUUCAUGCCAAUUUUAUUGCUAAAGUGCGGCAUCCCAAUAGUAAUUUAGAGAAAUCCAACCUGAAUGAAUGAAUCAGGCUUUACCAAUCGCAAAACAAACAGAAACCCAUAAAAAUGAAUUUGAGACCAAUACAACACUGUUAAAUAUACAACAUUGUUAAAUUUGGAAUGCAUUUCAUUUUACCUGAUAAAGAUUUGGAUCCAAGAUAUUUACACAAUGUGAUUGAAUUUUGAUAUGAUUUGAGUGAUAUCUAUUUUGUUGAAAAAAAGGUAAAAACACUUACAUCGAUUUGUAAUUUUCUGCUUCUGGUAUUUUUGGGUUUAUGAAAACAGAAUGGAUCUGGUACUGCUAAGCAUUGUGUUUCUUGUGGGUUUGCAAAUGUGGUGGCAUGUUCUUUUUUUUGUAAUAAACUGUAAAUGUUGGAAAUAAGUAAAGUUAAGUUGUAUACCUAGGAACCGUUUUACUUUGAGACUUGUGAAGACAACCACAAUUGGUGAUGGUUGUUGUCUUACAACUUCAAUAUCAAGUCCUGGCGCAGUCUCCCCAAAGUGUAAGUCUCACUUCUUCGUUUCUGAAUGAAUUGUU
rnacentral:lncRNA from 1 species